AAAUGUUAUACCGGCAGAGUAUAUUUUACUGCUAUAUUUUAAACUUACUGUGUGUGCUUGCAGAGUGCCCUGGAUUGGAUCAGGACUCAGUAUGUAUUGAAUAAUAAAGGACGUGGCAAUGGAGCUAGAAAAAUAUUGGGAAAGAAAGAAAGAAAGAAAGAUCCUUCAUGACAUCAGUUAUAAUCGUAUUUGGUCACUUUACCUUAAAAAACAAUGCGUUUGUUCAUGUUGGCUGCUGUUGAUUUGACA